rnacentral:sRNA from 1 species
GCCGGGCGAUGGUGGCGCACGCCUUUAAUCCCAGCACUCGGGAGGCAGAGGCAGGCGGAUCUCUGUGAGUUCGAGACCAGCCUAGUCUACAGAGCUAGUUCCAGGACAGGCUCCAAAGCCACAGAGAAACCCUGUCUCGAAAAACCAAAAAAAAAAAAAAAAAAGAUAAGGUUUCUCUGGAGCUUUGGAUCCUGUCCUGGAGCGAGCUCUUGUAGACCAGGCUGGCCUCGAACUCACAGAUAUCUGCCUGUUUCU